AGAGGGGAUAAAAAUGACAAUCAAAUUGCUUAGUCAUGUUGUCAAUAUAACAGUGUACUCUGGAGGGAUGUUCUGGUGUAAACUAUGGCUAAAGUUUAGAUGACAGUUAUUGUAAAUUGUAAAUCACACCUUAGUGUAUGUGGGAGAUUGAUUGCAAGAGAUUGGACAAGAUUCACAUUUAUGCUCUUACUGUUUGUACUGAAAUUUGUUGACAGACCAUGUCAUUGCGAAACAGAAAGGAAAAGACAGCACUGCAUAGCACAAAGAAAAAAAAAAGUAGAAAUGUGAA